GGUAAAAUGGCUGAUAAUAGUGUUAGACUGUAAAUCUAAGAAUAAGGGUUUAAAUCCCUUUUUUACCA
rnacentral:tRNA from 1 species